UCCCUGGUGGCUCAGAUGGUAAAGCAUCUGCCUGCAAUGCGGGAGACCCGGGUUCAGUCCCUGGGUUGGGAA
rnacentral:tRNA from 1 species